AGAAGAAGAAGAAGAAGAAAGUUGGUGGAAAUUGAAGCUCAGGUGCUACAAGUGCAUACACUUCAGUGGGUCCUUCAGAUUACUGAUACUAAUAAUAGAUUCUGCUGCAAUUCCUCUUCUUUGAUUCUUUCCUUUAUUUAUCACUGGAUCAAGCUCUGUAAGUUUCAUAUUCAUUGUUCUUGAGUUCCUGGAUUUGGAGAUUGAAUAACAAUAAAGAAUAUCAGAUUGAAGGGGAUAUUGAAGAGGGCACUUAGCUGAUUAGGGACAUUGUUAUAAGAAAAUAUAGGUUUUAUUAUUAUUAUUAUCUAAGUAGUGGGACUACUGGGUUCCCAGUUACAUGUACCCAGAUUUUUUUUACCCAUUUUAUACAAUAGCUAUAUUAAAUUUUGUCUACUCUUAGAGAGGUUAUGGUUUUAGAGCUUGUAUGAAUGUUCUAU
rnacentral:misc_RNA from 1 species